rnacentral:rRNA from 1 species
AUUGAACGCUGGCGGAAUGCUUUACACAUGCAAGUCGAACGGCAGCACGGGGGCAACCCUGGUGGCGAGUGGCGAACGGGUGAGUAAUACAUCGGAACGUGCCCGGUCGUGGGGGAUAACGUAGCGAAAGUUACGCUAAUACCGCAUACGAUCUGAGGAUGAAAGCGGGGGACCUUCGGGCCUCGCGCGAUCGGAGCGGCCGAUGUCAGAUUGGGUAGUUGGUGGGGUAAAGGCCUACCAAGCCGACGAUCUGUAGCUGGUCUGAGAGGACGACCAGCCACACUGGGACUGAGACACGGCCCAGACUCCUACGGGAGGCAGCAGUGGGGAAUUUUGGACAAUGGGCGCAAGCCUGAUCCAGCCAUUCCGCGUGCAGGACGAAGGCCUUCGGGUUGUAAACUGCUUUUGUAUGGAACGAAAAGGCUCUGGCUAAUACCUGGGGCUCAUGACGGUACCGUAAGAAUAAGCACCGGCUAACUACGUG